rnacentral:rRNA from 1 species
AUUGAACGCUGGCGGCAGGCCUAACACAUGCAAGUCGAACGGUAACAGGAAGAAGCUUGCUUCCUUGCUGACGAGUGGCGGACGGGUGAGUAAUGUCUGGGAAACUGCCUGAUGGAGGGGGAUAACUACUGGAAACGGUAGCUAAUACCGCAUAACGUCGCAAAACCAAAGAGGGGGACCUUCGGGCCUCUUGCCAUCGGAUGUGCCCAGAUGGGAUUGGCCAGUAGGUGGGGUAACGGCUCACCUAGGCGACGAUCCCUAGCUGGUCUGAGAGGAUGACCAGCCACACUGGAACUGAGACACGGUCCAGACUCCUACGGGAGGCAGCAGUGGGGAAUAUUGCACAAUGGGCGCAAGCCUGAUGCAGCCAUGCCGCGUGUAUGAAGAAGGCCUUCGGGUUGUAAAGUACUUUCAGCGGGGAGGAAGGGAGUAAAGUUAAUACCUUUGCUCAUUGACGUUACCCGCAGAAGAAGCACCGGCUAACUCCGUGCCAGCAGCCGCGGUAAUACGGAGGGUGCAAGCGUUAAUCGGAAUUACUGGGCGUAAAGCGCACGCAGGCGGUUUGUUAAGUCAGAUGUGAAAUCCCCGGGCUCAACCUGGGAACUGCAUCUGAUACUGGCAAGCUUGAGUCUCGUAGAGGGGGGUAGAAUUCCAGGUGUAGCGGUGAAAUGCGUAGAGAUCUGGGAGGAAUACCGGUGGCGAAAGCGGCCCCCUGGGACGAAGACUGACGCUCAGGUGCGAAAACGUGGGGAGAAAAAGGAUUAAAUACCCUGGGUGGUCCAAGGGGAAAUCCACAGUGGAUAUGAGCUUGUCGAAACCGGCGCCUCAGUGGGAAGGCAGAAAGAAAAAGAUUUUGUUCCUUUUGUGGGGGUUAUUUAAAA